UUCAGGACGAACGCUGGCGGCGUGCCUAAUACAUGCAAGUCGAACGGUCUUUUCUAUGGAAGCUUGCUUCCACUGAGAAGAUAGUGGCGAACGGGUGAGUAACACGUGGGUAACCUGCCCAUAAGAGGGGGAUAACAUCCGGAAACGGGUGCUAAUACCGCAUAGUUUUCUUGAUCGCAUGAUCGGGAAAGGAAAGACGGCCUUUGUGCUGUCGCUUAUGGAUGGACCCGCGGCGUAUUAGUUAGUUGGUGAGGUAACGGCUCACCAAGACGAUGAUACGUAGCCGACCUGAGAGGGUGAUCGGCCACAUCGGGACUGAGACACGGCCCAAACUCCUACGGGAGGCAGCAGUAGGGAAUCUUCCGCAAUGGACGAAAGUCUGACGGAGCAACGCCGCGUGAGUGAAAGAAGGUUUUCGGAUCGUAAAACUCUGUUGUCAGAGAAGAACAAGUUGGAGAGUAACUGCUCCAGCCUUGACGGUAUCUGACCAGAAAGCCACGGCUAACUACGUGCCAGCCGCCGC
rnacentral:rRNA from 1 species